rnacentral:tmRNA from 1 species
GUACUGGUUUCGACGGGGAUGUUGAAUUUGGAGCAGCCAUUCGUGGACUAGGACCACGUUAAAACUUAGAAAUUAAAUUUAAACGCUGAAGACAAUUUAGCUUUAGCUGCCUAGUUGCAGCUUGUCGUGCCUGGGCGUCCCGCCACUCAGGGUCACGGCAUCAAACCGGUGGGGAACUCUUGUGGUUAAGCUUUGCGCCACAAGAAGCACGAUGAAGCUACUAAGAACAGAAGCUUGUCAAUAGGCGUCUGUUUGAGGGAAUGUUAAAGUAUUGACUGUAAUGGGAGAUACUCUGAUGGAUGUGUUUUCGGACAUGGGUUCGAUUCCCAUCUGGUCCACU